UAAGCGGAGGAAAAGAAACUAACAAGGAUUCCCCUAGUAACGGCGAGUGAAGUGGGAAAAGCUCAACUUUGAAAUCUGGUACUUUCAGUAUCCGAAUUGUAGUCUCAAGAAGUGUUUUCUGUGCCGGUCCAUGUAUGAGUCUGUUGGAACACAGCGUCAUAGAGGGUGACAACCCCGUUCAUGACAUGGAUCCCGGUGCUUUGUGAUACACUCUCGAAGAGUCGAGUUGUUUGGGAAUGCAGCUCAAAUUGGGUGGUAAAUUCCAUCUAAAGCUAAAUAUUGGCGAGAGACCGAUAGCAAACAAGUACCGUGAGGGAAAGAUGAAAAGCACUUUGGAAAGAGAGUUAACAGUACGUGAAAUUGUUGAAAGGGAAACGAUUGAAGUCAGACGUGCGUGAUGCGGUUCAGCUUUAGUUCGCUAGAGUGUACUCCGUAUCUUUGCAGGCCAACAUCGGUUUUGUUAGUCGGAUAAAGGUUUGAGAAAUGUGGCACCUUCGGGUGUGUUAUAGUCUCAGACUGAAUACGAUUGAUGGGACCGAGGAACGCAGCGCGCCGCAAGGCAAAGGUUCCGAC
rnacentral:rRNA from 1 species